GUCCCUGCAGCGCAACGGAUAGCGCGUUGGACUUCUAAUCCAAAGGUCAUGGGUUCGAAUCCCACCUGGAAUG
rnacentral:tRNA from 1 species